GCCCCCAUAGCUCAGUGGAAGAGCACAAGGCCGCGGACCUUGGUUUGCGUGGGUUCGAUUCCUGCUGGGGGUACCA
rnacentral:tRNA from 1 species